rnacentral:rRNA from 1 species
GAUGAACGCUGGCGGCGUGCCUAAUACAUGCAAGUCGAGCGAACAGACGAGGAGCUUGCUCCUCUGACGUUAGCGGCGGACGGGUGAGUAACACGUGGAUAACCUACCUAUAAGACUGGGAUAACUUCGGGAAACCGGAGCUAAUACCGGAUAAUAUAUUGAACCGCAGGGUUCAAUAGUGAAAGACGGUUUUGCUGUCACUUAUAGAUGGAUCCGCGCCGCAUUAGCUAGUUGGUAAGGUAACGGCUUACCAAGACAACGAUGCGUAGCCGACCUGAGAGGGUGAUCGGCCACACUGGAACUGAGACACGGUCCAGACUCCUACGGGAGGCAGCAGUAGGGAAUCUUCCGCAAUGGGCGAAAGCCUGACGGAGCAACGCCGCGUGAGUGAUGAAGGUCUUCGGAUCGUAAAACUCUGUUAUUAGGGAAGAACAAAUGUGUAAGUAACUAUGCACGUCUUGACGGUACCUAAUCAGAAAGCCACGGCUAACUACGUG